CUAAAAUGGAGUCAGAUUAAAUAAUAAAAUGGAGUCAGAUUUGAGUUUAACCUAAAAUGAAUAACUCUACGCGCUGAAAGACAGAACACGCAGGAAACCUUCAUCCAGCACCGGAUACCUUCCUUGGGCUGAGUGUCUGGACCUUACAAAGUGGUGACCCCGCCGACGUGAUCUCCCUAAUUAUGCGAGUGACGUCUUUCCAGCGCUAAUUUCAAAUUGAUUCUCUCUGAAGAUAUAAGGUUUGAGCUUCUUCCCUGUCUACAACUGCUGUGGUUGACCACUGCAAUUCUUUGGAGGACAGAUACCAGGAGGGUGUCUUGUCCCCUCUGCACCAAGCCAGGACAACAGAAUUGUUACAUAACCUGAAAUGCGGGAGAUGAAUGUGAAGACACUUGAAGGGGCCAUUCACACCUCACAGGAGAACAUCACCACACAAAUAUCUACAUGGCCUCCCGGAUUAGAACCGGAACUAAAUUUUUGCAACACAGAUUGCUAUAGAUAAGACUCCAUUCAUCUCCCAGACAUGACCAUAGAACACACAUCUCACCCAUUGCAUCAUCACCUCACCUAGACUAUCCAGUCUGUACACUACAAUCAGUAGACAAUGAUGGCUUAGAUCACAAACGUGAUACUCCACUAAAGAUCUAUUGUCCAUCAUCACACUGACAGAACCACAUAGCCUCACACACACAGGACAAUAGAAUUAAUUACAUUCCCAAAAGAUAUAAAAUAUCUACUAUCUGCAACUGUCUAAAAAACUAGUGGAACAACACUGUAACACAUUUGUACGACAAGUCACAUAUCGAUGGUGCAAAUUUUUUAACACAGAGGCAGACAAGCCUUUACAAUUUAAAAUUUUGAAUCUUUCAGAUUGUUAUUGGGGUGGUUGACAAGCCAGAGGGCCCCUUGUUUCCCAACACAUUACUAAUGACAAUAAACAUUAUUAAAAUGAUCAAAUAUGAAGUGCCUGCACUUCAUCUCUAUCAAUCAAUUAUAAAAUUAAACAUUUUACCUAACCAUCAACUGUGACUUAGCCUUUAUAUCUUUACAUCAGAUACCCAUUCUCACACACACACACACACACACACACACACACACACACACACACACACACACACACACACACACACACACACACACAAACACACACACCUGUUACAAGGAAUUUAGGAUUUACAUUGUAGAAAAAUGUUUUAAUCAUGUUCUAAGUCACUUCUUAAAAACCUUAGAUCAUCUAAAGUGGCUUGCAAUAGAAGAUUCCUGAAUUAACAGUGUGAUAUACCUUCAUAAUUAUGAUUGAAUGUUCCUAUUGUCAUUAUAUGACUUGUUUAUUGAUUGCAUACCUCUAAAUUUAUGCUCAAGUUACUGACCUCUUGCUGCAUUUCCUUUGAGUCAUUCAUACCAAAAUUUGUUUACAUGGGACCACUUUUAACAUCAGAUGUACCACUUGCACUGGCUGACAUGAAUUCAUCAGGUUUCUUUUUUGUUUUAUUGCUCUUAUGUUAAUUUAUGACCUUUUUAUCUUACUCCAUGGGUGAUGACAUUAAGCUGAUCCGAAUUCAGUCAUUGAAUGGCCACUAAGAUGCUUUUCAGGUGUCCCACACAAAUCGGUGUGUAAGCAAGGAGGACACCUUCAUCUACUGAAGCCCACCGCUGGAGGAGAGAGGAUUCACGAAGAUGGGUCAGACUACCGUCCUAGAGAAGGUGCCAUAAGGAGCAGAGGUUUCUCCACAAAGGAAGGACACGUUAACUGAACAAGUCGUAAAGGCUCAGAUUGACCCACUGAACUUUGCUCACAUGCUGAGCUCAACCACAGGUAGAAACCCUGGAGAUAUUCAUCCACUUGCCAAACUCAAGCGACACACACAUGCUGAGACAGAGUGUUCUGCAGAUGAAUACAGCCCUCAGAAGGUUUCUAAAGCUGCUUACAUCACAAAGACAAUUUUGAGAUAACAUCUCGAAGAUAAACAAUCAUCUAACGGUGACCCCAUUGGAUUCAUCUGAAUGUGACCCAUUGGGGGUCAAACGGAGGAACUGUAAGGACGAAAGAACCUGAGAUACUUUGAUCUCCUGAGAAACAGA